CGGGUGAGUAACGCGUGAGGAACCUGCCUCAAAGAGGGGGACAACAGUUGGAAACGACUGCUAAUACCGCAUAAGCCCACGGCUCGGCAUCGAGCAGAGGGAAAAGGAGCAAUCCGCUUUGAGAUGGCCUCGCGUCCGAUUAGCUGGUUGGUGAGGUAACGGCCCACCAAGGCGACGAUCGGUAGCCGGACUGAGAGGUUGAACGGCCACAUUGGGACUGAGACACGGCCCAG
rnacentral:rRNA from 1 species